ensembl:lncRNA
AUAUAUAUAUAUAUUUUUUUUUUUUUCAUUUUACCUUUCCAUUUUUGGCAUUGAAUAAAUUAUUUUACCAUUUAAAUAUGGCACAAAAAUGGAAGCUUUAAAAAAAAUUAAAAAGGUACUUGCAACUUUAAAUCUCAUGCAUCUUUAUAUCUUAAUCCUGACUUUUAUUCUCGUAAUUUUAAGAAAAAAAAUCAGAAUUGCAAGAUAUAAACUCACAAUUGCGAGAAAAGUCAGAAUUGUAAGAUAAAAUGUUGCAAUGACAUUUUUAUUGUGUAUCAUUUAUUCUGUAGAUUCCGUGGAGAGAACUAAUAAACAGAAAUAUAAAGACAUUUUUUUUUUUUUUACUUAUGAGAUACAAAUUCAGAAAUGCGAGGAUAAACAUCUGAACUGUAAGACAAAGUUGCAAUUACCUUUUUUUAUUUUUUAUUCCAUUGUGAACCAAGCUUCCAUAUAAAAUCCAUUAAUACAUUUUAAACAUAUAUAAUAGAGGAUGCCACCGGGGCAUGUUGUCACAACAUCGAUUUUAAAAAAUAAAUCCAUCCUGACAAACUUCCUGAUGUAUCGAACAUCCAGAAUAAAUCCUGCUGGUCCUCAAACGGGCUUCAUUUCUCUCCUCUUCUGUGUUUUCUUGGUCUGAUAUUAUGUGUCUGAUGGAAAGAUUUGGAUUCUCCGUCUCUUCGAUCCUCGUCCUGUUUUCUUUCGGAGGUUUUUCACGCGUGUUGCACGACCUCAGCGAGGUACUUCAGUGACUGAUCAACAGCUGCGAGGUGCGAUUGUUUGAAAUGACUUUGUUUUUUUUUUUAGCUCAGAUUCGUUCGUUAUUUAUAUAUUAACAACUAGAAAUUCAUUUUGUGCUACACACACACACACACAGCUCAUUAAUUUGUGCAUUGCAAGUGUUUUGAAGGUAAUUUAAAGCAACAUCGGUGUAAAUACCAUGCAAUUGUUGUGAUUUAAUCAGCACAACCACAAAUAUGAUCUUUGUACAGAUGUGAGAAUCUGUUGGCAGGUUAUUAUUAUUAUUAUUAUUAUUAUUAUUAUUAUUUUGAAAUGCUCUGAUUGUUGAUAUGAUGUGUAAUAAUCACCAUACGUACAUGAAUGUAAAGGCCUUUCCUCUCUUUUCACAUUAUUACCUUAUUUUAUAUGCAAAACUAUUUUUUUCUCUAUUUUUAGAUCUGAUGUUUCAUAUGAAUGAUGCUCUUUCAUACUGUCCUCUUUUUUUAAACGGGAAGAUUUUGACUUUUUUAUCCUUUAAUUGUGUUGUCUUUUUUAACACGUGAACUAAAGAACACCAGGAUACAAAUAAUAUUGAAUUUGUAUACACUCUUCAGCUGUUUUUAUGAUUUAGACUUGUUUUUUUCUAUUGAACUGAUCAAAUAAAGUUUCAGUUUUUAAGUUCAAA